CGUCAACCCUGCAGUGGGAACAGGGGCCCAUUGUACAUCCUAGACACAGACACCACAGGUAAGCUGGGCUUGGUACCUACCCCUCCCUGGAUUCAGAAAGAAGCCAAACAAGGAGCUUUGUGCAGAAUGAAGCCUCCUUCCUUCCAGAAGCACUGCUGACUGUUUGGCGGUUGCCAUUUGUGGCAGUGAGCCUUUUGUUUAUUCUGAGGUUGGGCUGGUUUCUCCUCUUGGCCCUGACCUCCAGAUUAUAAAGGAGAACAGCAAGAGGUCCCCAGGAAACAUCCACAAAUGGCAUUGGAAAUAAGUCACCUUCUGAGAAACAUGUCAUGUUCUGGGAGGGCUAAGGCAUCAAGUAAGGCCUAUGGGGUUGGAGGAUCCCUGGGCAGGUGGGGCAGUCCACAGCCUUGGGGUCUUCCCAUGGGAAUCGGGAGGUCCCAAGGCAGAGGCAGUGGUUCCACAGGAGGAGUCACAGAGCCACCAAGGGCUCUCCUGGCCCAGGGAGCAGUCAACACCAUGGACUGAACACCUGCUGGGCUCAAAAGUCCUGGUCCAGACUGGGGCAUGUGGGGCCAGGAGGGAACUCGGAGUGGGAGACAGAGAGACAAGUGUGCUCAGAGGGCACCCGUUUCUGGAGGUAGUGUCCAGAGAUUUUGGCUGGGAAGGGCUUCCAGGGUUUCAUACGUGUUGUGGAGCUGCUUCCUCUCUCCAGCCUCACCCUGCAGGAACAUCAGUGAAUAUAUUGCUGCCAUCUUGGACCUCAAUGCCCUCAUAGUGUAAUGGCACCAGCAGAUCUACCCUGUGCAUGGACGUCCUGUACUACCUCAUUCCUGAGGAGCGAUGCUUCUGUAGGGUCUCUGACUUGGUGCACAACUUCAGACACCAUCAUCCUGGAGCAGUACCGCACCCUCACUAGCCAGGGUGUUGAUGACUUCCUCAAGGCCAAGGCCACGUUCAAGGCUUCAGACUUCAUUGAUGCACUUGUGCUGAGCAAGGCGGGCUUUUCCAGGACCUUAAUUCAGGAGCCUCAGUGCAUAGGCGCUGUUCAUCCUCUGGUGUUGAAGCAGCCAAGAGUCACAAGCCUGCCUGGCUGCCUCUUAGGAUAUGACAGCAGAGCCAGUGACAUCUACUGGAUCCUGUACAACUUCACAAAACACCCAGACACCGGGAGUGCUGCCAGCAUGUGGUGCAACAGUCCUGAGGGACCACAGUCCGGAAGACAUUGAAUGGCUAUGGUCCUGCUCAUUGCUGGAGGUGCUGUCAGGGCCCUUGCCACUGACCCUCCAGGUCUCAUUCUUGCAGUGCAGGCAGGGCAUUCUGGAGGAAUCAUGCCCUUGGAAGAAGCCCUGAGGAGUGUCUGCUCCUCCAAUAUUCAUAGACCUGUCAUUGUGCUGUUUUUACCAAAAAUGAUCAUGAGGAUCAGAGAGGGAAAGUCACUUGCCCAAAGUCACACAGCUGAACAGUGGUGGAGUUCAACUUUGACCAUGGGCUGUCUGACCCCAAGUUGUAUACUUGCUCCUCUCCCAAGAGACUCCUCUCUUAUCAGGCUCAAAUGAAUGAAAGGAGGAUGUUAAAGGGCAUGUUGAAAACACAGAUUAUCCAGACUCUUACCUCUGCAGAUGUGUUUGGUGGUUCUAAAAUAGCAUCAAGGGACCUGGAUUUUUCCUAGGGUCCCUGUGUAAUUCACACUCAUGAACAGACAACACUGUUAUUGACGAGAUCACACCCAAGCGGAUCAGAGAUUGGCCCAAUACUUACACCUACACCAAGGCCUUGGGAGAAAUGGUGGUGCAGCAGGAGAGCAGGAGCCUAACCAUCGCCAUCAGUAGGCCCUCCAUUGUGGGAGCAACAUGCCAUAAGCCUUUCCCAAUGCAGCAUUACCUGGAAAGAAGCUAAAGCUGGGGGGUUCCAAGAUGGCCAAAUAGGAACAGCUCCAGGCUACAACUCCCAGCAUGAGUGACAGAGAAGACGGGUGAUUUCUGCAUUUCCAACUGAGGUACCGGGUUCGUCUCACUGGGGCGCAUUGGACAGUGGGUGCUGGACAGUGGGUGAAGU